rnacentral:rRNA from 1 species
AUGUGGAGGCAAGUUGUUUCAGUAGAAAUUGAAGGACGGUUAGACAUUUUCAUACAAGCCUACUCCAAAUCUGGCGAUAUCGCUUCACAAGGCCAGGUCCGUUUCAUACCCAAAUCUUGCGGCAUGAGUCAUGGUAAAUGUGCUUUUGGUGGCUCUGAGGUAUCAAUUACUGUUGCUUGGCCCUUGUUGCUACGGACAAGGGGGGAAUCGCAGCACGGGGAAAUUUGUUUGAAUGUUAAAGCUAGGAGAUUUGCGGCAGGGAACACUGAGAAGAGAGGACAACACCAACCAAACAUUUGCUCCCAUAUCCUUCCUGUUGUUGAAGGAGCACUGCUAUACAGACGAUGUUGUGCAGCCAAUUUUUGCACCAUCCUGCUAAUUGAACCAUGCAUUCCUGGGGCCAAGUGGAGGCCGGCCGCUGGAUCUAGCAUCGUGCAAUGUUCCGCUACUUAG